rnacentral:rRNA from 1 species
UACGUAGGGGGCAAGCGUUGUCCGGAUUUAUUGGGCGUAAAGAGCGUGUAGGCGGUUUGGUAGGUCCGCUGUGAAAACUCGAGGCUCAACCUCGAGACGCCGGUGGAAACCAUCAGGCUAGAGUCCGGAAGAGGAGAGUGGCAUUCCUGGUGUAGCGGUGAAAUGCGCAGAUAUCAGGAAGAACACCCGUGGCUAAGGCGGCUCUCUAGUACGGUACUGACGCUGAGACGCGAAAGCGUGGGGAGCGAACAGG